rnacentral:rRNA from 1 species
GAUGAACGCUGGCGGCGUGCUUAACACAUGCAAGUCGAACGGGAAUGUUUCGCUGAUGCGAUUUCGGUCAAAUCUUGAAGCAUUUUAGUGGCGGACGGGUGAGUAACGCGUGGGUAACCUGCCCUGUACAGGGGGACAACAGUUGGAAACGACUGCUAAUACCGCAUAAGCGCACAGCUUCGCUUGAAGCAGUGUGAAAAACUCCGGUGGUACAGGAUGGACCCGCGUCUGAUUAGAUAGUUGGUGAGGUAACGGCCCACCAAGUCAACGAUCAGUAGCCGGCCUGAGAGGGCGAACGGCCACAUUGGGACUGAGACACGGCCCAAACUCCUACGGGAGGCAGCAGUGGGGAAUAUUGCACAAUGGGAGAAACCCUGAUGCAGCGACGCCGCGUGAGUGAAGAAGUAUUUCGGUAUGUAAAGCUCUAUCAGCAGGGAAGAAAACAAUGACGGUACCUGACUAAGAAGCCCCGGCUAACUACGUGCCAGCAGCCGCGGUAA